rnacentral:rRNA from 1 species
UACGAAGGGGGCUAGCGUUGCUCGGAAUCACUGGGCGUAAAGGGCGCGUAGGCGGCCAUUCAAGUCAGGGGUGAAAGCCUGUGGCUCAACCACAGAAUUGCCUUUGAUACUGUUUGGCUAGAGACCGGAAGAGGUAAGUGGAACUGCGAGUGUAGAGGUGAAAUUCGUAGAUAUUCGCAAGAACACCAGUGGCGAAGGCGGCUCACUGGCCCGAUACUGACGCUGAGGCACGAAAGCGUGGGGAGCAAACAGG